rnacentral:rRNA from 1 species
GGAUAACCUACCCUUAGGACCGGGAUAACCCUGGGAAACUGGGGAUAAUACUGGAUAGGCAAUUUUUCCUGUAAUGGUUUUUUGUUUAAAUGUUUUUUCGCCUAAGGAUGGGUCUGCGGCCGAUUAGGUAGUUGGUUAGGUAAUGGCUUACCAAGCCGUUGAUCGGUACGGGUUGUGAGAGCAAGAGCCCGGAGAUGGAACCUGAGACAAGGUUCCAGGCCCUACGGGGUGCAGCAGGCGCGAAACCUCCGCAAUGUGAGAAAUCGCGACGGGGGGAUCCCAAGUGCCAUUCUUAACGGGAUGGCUUUUCAUUAGUGUAAAAAGCUUUUGGAAUAAGAGCUGGGCAAGACCGGUGCCAGCCGCCGCGGUAACACCGGCAGCUCUAGUGGUAGCAACUUUUAUUGGGCCUAAAGCGUCCGUAGCCGGUUUAAUAAGUCUCUGGUGAAAUCCUGUAGCUUAACUGUGGGAAUUGCUGGAGAUACUAUUAGACUUGAGACCGGGAGAGGUUGGAGGUACUCCCAGGGUAGAGGUGAAAUUCUGUAAUCCUGGGAGGACCGCCUGUUGCGAAGGCGUCUAACUGGAACGGUUCUGACGGUGAGGGACGAAAGUUAGGGGCGCGAACCGGAUUAGAUACCCGGGUAGUCCUAACUGUAAACGAUGCGGACUUGGUGUUGGGGUGGCUUUGAGCUGCUCCAGUGCCGAAAGGGAAGCUGUUAAGUCCGCCGCCUGGGAAGUACGGUCGCAAGACUGAAACUUAA